rnacentral:sRNA from 2 species
ACCAAGAUCACGCCGAAUCCUGCAAAGCGCAGGUACGGGGGACAAGCGGGCUUCAUGCCCAGGGGUGAAUUGCGCCAUCGGCGCAUAGGGGGACUCUUCCACCCGAACCCGUCAACUAACCUCGGAGGCUACAGGAGGAGAAGCA